rnacentral:rRNA from 1 species
GACAGAGGUGCCGAGCGUUAGGCGGAAUCACUGGGCUUAAAGCGUGUGUAGGUGGAUGCCUAAGUACCUUGUGAAAUCCCACGGCUUAACCGUGGAACUGCUUGGUAUACUGGGUGUCUUGAGCCACUUAGGGGCUACCGGAACAAAUGGUGGAGCGGUGAAAUGCGUAGAUAUCAUUUGGAACGCCAAUGGUGAAAACAGGUAGCUGGGAGUGUGCUGACACUGAGACACGAAAGCCAGGGGAGCGAACGGG